UUUUGCUAAAGGUACUGCCUUUUGUGUCAUUUUUAGCACACUCAUUGAAUGAAUCGAGUUUAUUCAAGAAGCAAUAUGACUUCACUGAGUGUCAAUUUUCAGCAGAGGAAAACAAACCAGUGGCUUGAGUUAAUGAUAGUUGCUAAUUUUCAAAAGCUUUGGGGGGAAAAAAGAGCCAUAACUUACUCAUAAAGAAAUAAUUCCUAAAAGUUGAGCACUUUCUUUUGCAUAUAGUGCAGGUUACUGUAAGCAAGUGUAGUGUGCCUGUGCUGUGAAGAGCUCUAAUUUACAUUGAUAACUCCUGUACUUUCUGCUGAAAUUAAAGAAGGGCUUUUCUCAGUAUUUGUUUGCUUUAUGCCUUAUUUUUCCUAUGUUGAUACAUGAAUAACUCAGUCAGAUAAUGAUGCAGUGCCAUGAUUUUUAUGGGUACCAGAAAAAUCUCUCCUUGGAUUUUCACAAAGCUAAAAUUGCAAAUAUAAACAGAUUGUAUUGGUUUAUAGCUGAACUAUGAACCAUGGCAUAUAUCAGUGAAAUUCAGAUUGAUUCCAGAAGGAAUUAUUAACAUAUAUUACAUAUAUAUUUAAUUUAUGCCAGCUCUAAAUUUGCUCUUGGAUUUUAGAGAGUCUACUUUUAUUACUCACUGCUGCUAGGAUAUUUUUUUGUAUGCCUUUAAAAUUUGCCCAUUCUCUGCAAAUAUCAGCAUGUAAUUGGAAGCAGAGCUUUUAAGAAGAUAAUUUCUGAUUAAAGAAGUUUUUUCAUAGAAACUUUCAUCAGCCUGCAAGUAGAAAUCCAUGUACUAACGUAAUAACUUCUUAAUAUAGAUGCACCUGAAUUCAAAGGAUGCUAUAGCAUGUAAUCUCUUUUUACAUUAAGUAUAGCUUAGGUAAUACUUUCUCUUGGGAUAUGGUUUUUGCUGGUUUUAUUUUUUUUUCCACCAAGCCAUUUUUAGCCUUCAGAAAUUUGCUAGCGAAAUAUUAUAUCAAUCACCCUGAAACUGAAGGUAGAAUGGUGUACUUUUAUCCAAAUUGCUUUAGCAAAUAUGUAUGUGUUAGCUUUGUAUAGCAAGUUUUGUAGGAAGUAUCUUUUAUUAGAACAGGGAAAAUAGCUGGCAGAAUAAAAAGGACAGUCUUAAAGAGAAACAGAAAACUUCUGCCAAAGAGCACUCUGGAAACAGUUGUUUUAAUUUAAUUUCAUGUUCCUCUGUAAGAAUACUUGUAGGCAUAGCUAGCACCUGUGGAGCAGAGCUGCAGUAUUGCUGAGGGAGAUGCAAUAUCCUCAGUGAUCUGUGACAGAGGAGGACAGCACCUGUGGAACAGCGAAGUAUAAAAUCACGAUAUACCAUAGAAUGAGUGCUUUCCAGCUCCUUGAAGGAGUGAGAAUUAACACUCUAAAUCAAAAUACACGGUGUGAAUUGUGACCAUCAGAUAAGCUACAACACACUCUUUGAAGAUGAAGAUAGGAACUAAAAUUCCUGACAUGACUGGAUACCAAGAAUCAUGGGCUUAAUAGAUACGCUUGAUUUAUGGCAUGCUAUAACUUCCUUCAUUAACUUAAUUCUGCAUUUCAUGGGCUAUAAACUACCUGCUUCUUUUCUUCUGCUCAGGGAGAGCCACAUUAUUAUCUCUCUCCUCCUUUCCCUUUCUUUCACCCCCUCUCAUUGCAAACAUCCUCUCCGUUUCACUGGUUCUAACUACCUUUUAUUUCAGAAAUGGUCUUAUAAAUACUUGUCUUAAUUACACUCUAAGCAACUGUUCUCAACUUGUUUUUAGCUUUGAAGUCUGUUGCUUCUAUUUCAGACAAGAAAUACAAGAGGACUCGUAUGCCCAAAAGCUUGUGUUCUCUCUAACUGCACCAGUUGGUUUAACAAGGGACAUUGCCUCUAACUACAAACUAGUCUUGCCACAUCUCCAUGUAAUUGUGGGCCUUCCUGGAUAAUCAAGGUUAAGAAAUUUUAGAUAGAGCCAUUGUUUUAUGAUAAACACUUCCCUGCUUAUAACUGAGUAUGUCUGAUCAUUAUCAAGCUUCUUCCAGUGCAAUGUGACUGUCCUCACCCUGGUAGCUGCUGUGCAGCUUUAAGGAUGGGUACCCUGUUCUGAGGUGCAUGGUAUAGAAUGCUGGAGCUGGUGUUUCUUUUGCUCAUAAGCAUUUAUUUUUAUUACUGGGAAGAUGGGCUAUGACUGUUUAAUGACUUCUAGGGUAGGGGAGGAUUAGCUGUAUGUAGGGUGUUCACUUUGUACUGUAAGGAGUUAGAAUAAUACUAACACUGCUUAUUCAGAGAGAUGAGCUGUUCCCCAGAGACUAUUCCUAGUGAAUAAAGACCAGUUAUAGCUUGGUGAGAUUUGGUCUUAUGGUUGUUCUCAUUGCAAGUAUGAUGGUGCCUCAGGGUUUGGGUGUCUAUUUAGCAUUUUUAACAUAUAUUCUGGAUGAUUUCUGACUCCAUAAUGUAGGUCUAGAGAUUUUUACUAAUAGUAGUUUGUAGGCUGCCAUAUCUCAUGCUGAUCUAAUUGUAGAACUGCAAUGGUAUUAUGGGUCUGAUACUCUCUAGAAAAUAGAUUUUUGUGAACUGUAUUUUAAUGGGGGUAAUUCCAGAUAUACUUUGAUGAAGGAAUAGUUCUUAUUGAAUUUAUGGUGGGAACAAAGAAAAUAACAAAACUUUUAGCCCUGUGUGUGUGUUAGUGUCAACCUAUUGUUGCUGCAGUUACCUAGAACCUGUUCUUUGUAGUGGGAUAUGAAAGAGUUUAGGUUACAUGAUCAUUUCAGUGCUGAUUUCCUAGGGUCAGACAAACUCACUUAGGGAAGUUAAAAUGUAAAUUUGUUAAUAUAUUAGGGUUUGCAGACUGAUGGUUGGGUGUUGCCUUCUAAAUGCUCAGGAGUCUGCUGUUGCAGGGAGGUAGAUAGACGAUGAAGUCACUCUAAAUAUCCCAGCUGUAUGUAAGGCUGUAGGAUGUUUCUGUGAAUUUUGCUACUGUCCUAGCAAGGAUAUCAUAGAUACCUAUAGGUCUCCAGCCAUUCCUUAAUUAUACAUGAUGAGGACCAUGUGACAAGUUUGGAGGAUGAGAAUGAGAUAUUAGAGUACCAUCUUUUCUAGCAGUUGUCAGGAAGUGGAUCCAGUGGUAUUGAUCUGAGCUCUUAAAUGAAUGAGGGACUAUAAAGUCUUUGUUAAGUCCCUUGCAGUAGGUGUAGGGUCUGCUAGUCUUAUUCAUGCAAUCUUUGCAUGUUAACAUGAUAGUAACCUUAUCUUUGCCUGCUCUUUGACUGAAUCAUAAGGAUUCUAUAGCCUUUAAAAGUGAUGAAGGUAGGAAAAGGAAGAAAUGUCCAGAAGUUGUUUUAUCCUGGCUAUAAAACAAAUCUUGGAUAUAUGAUUGAUUUAAAGAAAAUAUCCUUUAAUGUUCCAUACACUUGCAAUUUUUUGGGUAGCUUCUCUGUGCAGAAGUGUACAUCUAUGGAGAUGUUUAUUUGUUAUUAAUUUAACAGCUAUGACAGCCUUGUGCCAGAUGUUGAGAAGAUACUCAGUGGUCAUUGACAUUGCAGCUUUGGGUGAGGUUGUGGUGUCUUGCCCGGCCCAAUGGUUCAUGUGGUUUAUUCUGUGUACUCUUUCUAUGGUGGUAUGCAGAACAGUAACAGAAAUUGUUGAUGUGUUUCUUAUCUUAAUUUUGUGAUUAAAUUUAAAUGACUGGAGAUCAGCUAAUUAUGGACAUACAAAACCGACUUAUCUUCUACCGUAAUAUUUGAGGAUUUGCCAAGGCUGGGGCCCUGUGGUUCUUGGCCAAGCAGCAUAAAACCCAUUCCCAAGAGACAUUUCUCUGAUCUCUCCUAUCAUUGUUCCUCAACAAUGUCUCUAGUUUUUACACCCACUUAGUGUAUACAGAUCUAAAUUAAAAUGAGAACUUUUCAGGGAAUGGCUUGUUUAUUACUUUGUGUUACAAUGCUUACUGUAGUGGAAAUUCUGCUUGCUGAGAACUCGAGGACACCAGGAAUAUAAACAAAAAUAGUACUGAAUCAUGGAAAGUUACCCUUUUAUCUGUUUGAUAUUUACAUUCCUCAUAAGGGAGAGACUCAGACGGGUUCAUACUUUUGCAUUGUGUGUGAACAAGUUUUUGCUGGAGUUCUGGGUUUUUCAUUUGGUGUCUUGCUGCUUGCAUUGCCUGUUGCACUUGCACUGCUCUGAUAACUUUGCAACAGCUCAUAUCUGCAGCUGAGUGAAGAAAAGGGUACAAAGCUUAGAGAAAGCAGAAAAAUAUGGACUAAGCGUGAAGCUGUCAUGGACCCAGAGAGUAAAUCCACUUGCCUUAUUCCUGCCUUCCUCUAUGUAAUAUAUAUACACACACACAGAUGUAUAAAGAUAUCUAUAUAAAAUAUAGAUAUAUUUAAUUUAGAAAAUAGAAAGCAAGUGGUUUUAUCCCAUCCAUGGACCUCACAGAUUCCUCUUCUCCCUUCUCUCAUCUUUUACAUGUUUUACGAUCAUGAAAACACACACAGGAGAAGUCUCCAUGGAUAUGGGGUAGGAGACUUGUUUGUUUUUUGUUUUCUUUCAUAGUUAUGUGGGCCCAAAGCCAUAAGGUAAAGCACCUUCAAUUCUAAUUUUUUUUUUCAGGUUUACUAUUGUUUUAUAUCCUACCUAUUUAAUCUGUAUAUUUACAUUUUUUUGCUUCUCAGUAUUUUGCUUUGUUCUGUUAGGUAUACACAGGCAAUAAAAACAUUGGUCCAUAAAGCCAUCCGUGAGCCUUUGUACUGAACACAGAGAAAAUUCCUGGGAAGUGCAACAGUCAAAAUCAUGCAAAUUACCAACUGCAGCAUCAUAAAGAUGUAAUUACAGGACCAAAAUGCCAAAUUUUCAUUCCUCUUCUGAUUAGUUGUUGGAACAAUGAGUUAUCACAAGAUUGCUACUUGUUAAUAUUGGCAAAUCAACAGCUGCUAUUCUUUGGUAUAAUAAUAUCACUCAAUUCUGUGAUUGUCAUGUAUCUAGUUUUACAUCAGAAAUGAUUAUGCCCAUUAGGAUUAAAGUCAUUAUACAGUAGGAUUAGAAUGGAGCAUGAAUUUGGAUAAUAACAGUGUUAGUGUCACUAUAGAUUUCAAAUUAUAUUAAUUUCUGUCAAUAUGCAAAAAUCCAUUAGAAAAUCUUUUCACACUAGAAAACAUUUUCACAGUGACUGGGACAUGUGUUUGUUUCCUGGUAAUAAUAUUCAGAUGAUAUCCAGGCUAUAAAUGAAAUAGGAUUGUAUAAUUUACUGUCUGCUCAUAAUAAGAAUAUGCAUUCUGUCGUCAAAAUUCAAGCAUUGUAGAAAUGAUCCCAUAUUUGAGCAAAUGUUGCAAUUACUUCAAGCUGUCGAAACUCUGCUGCCUUUGAACAGAAGUGUCCAGAGCAAAUACUGUAACAAUGAAUCUUUUUAUCAUUCUGCAAUCC
ensembl:lncRNA